rnacentral:rRNA from 1 species
UAAGGAAUAUUGGUCAAUGGAGGCAACUCUGAACCAGCCAUGCCGCGUGAAGGAUUAAGGCCCUCUGGGUUGUAAACUUCUUUUAUAUGGGAAGAAAUGUUCUGAUUCUUCAGAGCUUGACGGUACCAUAGGAAUAAGCACCGGCUAACUCCGUGCCAGCAGCCGCGGUAAUACGGAGGGUGCAAGCGUUAUCCGGAUUCACUGGGUUUAAAGGGUGCGUAGGUGGGCAGAUAAGUCAGUGGUGAAAUCUUCCGGCUUAACCGGGAAACUGCCGUUGAUACUAUUUGUCUUGAAUAUUGCGGAGGUAAGCGGAAUAUGUCAUGUAGCGGUGAAAUGCUUAGAUAUGACAUAGAACACCAAUUGCGAAGGCAGCUUACUACACAAUCAUUGACACUGAGGCACGAAAGCGUGGGUAGCGAACA